rnacentral:rRNA from 1 species
CUACGUGCCAGCAGCCGCGGUAAUACGUAGGUGGCAAGCGUUGUCCGGAAUUAUUGGGCGUAAAGCGCGCGCAGGCGGAUUGGUCAGUCUGUCUUAAAAGUUCGGGGCUUAACCCCGUGAUGGGAUGGAAACUGCCAAUCUAGAGUAUCAGAGAGGAAAGUGGAAUUCCUAGUGUAGCGGUGAAAUGCGUAGAUAUUAGGAAGAACACCAGUGGCGAAGGCGACUUUCUGGACGAAAACUGACGCUGAGGCGCGAAAGCCAGGGGAGCGAACGGGAUUAGAUACCCCGGUAGUCCUGGCCGUAAACGAUGGGUACUAGGUGUAGGAGGUAUCGACCCCUUCUGUGCCGGAGUUAACGCAAUAAGUACCCCGCCUGGGGAGUACGACCGCAAGGUUGAAACUCAAAGGAAUUGACGGGGGCCCGCACAAGCGGUGGAGUAUGUGGUUUAAUUCGACGCAACGCGAAGAACCUUACCAGGUCUUGACAU